UUCCAACUGAUGAGUCUUAAAUAGGAUGAAAUGCACGUCUAGGAU
rnacentral:hammerhead_ribozyme from 1 species